UCUUCUCUGCUUAGACUAAAAGAAAAAAAUUGAUUCGUUUGUCCUCAAAGAUCGGCAUACGAGAAAUAACUUUGGAGAAAUGGAUGCGCUGCAAAAGAUACGAUUACGUAUGCUGCCGCUGUUGUGGUUUGAACACGAGAAAGAGAAGUUAUGAAGAAAACCUAAAAUCUGCUAAGGGGUUUGCUUACUGAUGCGGUAUGUUUUUCAUGCUAAGGAUUGCAAGUUCGAAGUUCAACAUGUACAUGUAACUCCAAGACGUGCUGUCUGUCAUAUCCAAAAGCGGAAUGCAUGUAAGGGACGGAUUGUGCAAGAGGAGCCAUGGAGAAAAAAAUAGCGAGCAAGUGCUAUGUCCAAGUGCCAUGUACUAUGCAGGUCCUACGUUUGACUGUAAAAAAAGAGUCUUGCACAAGCUAUUGCCCACCGAAAAAAAAAUCCAUGCACAACCUAAAGGAGAGAAAACAAAUGACCCAGAAAAUUGCUCAUCCCCCCCCGCUCCCCUC